CAGGCGGCUGCUUUACCUGCAGUCGAACGGCAGCGGGGGCUUCGGCCUGCCGGCGAGUGGCGAACGGGUGAGUAAUGCAUCGGAACGUGCCUAGUCAUGGGGGAUAACUACGCGAAAGCGUAGCUAAUACCGCAUACGCCCUGAGGGGGAAAGUGGGGGAUCUUCGGACCUCACGUGAUUGGAGCGGCCGAUGUCAGAUUAGCUAGUUGGUGAGGUAAAGGCUCACCAAGGCGACGAUCUGUAGCGGGUCUGAGAGGAUGAUCCGCCACACUGGGACUGAGACACGGCCCAGACUCCUACGGGAGGCAGCAGUGGGGAAUUUUGGACAAUGGGCGCAAGCCUGAUCCAGCCAUGCCGCGUGAGUGAAGAAGGCCUUCGGGUUGUAAAGCUCUUUCGCAAGGGAAGAAAACGUGUGGGCUAAUAUCCUGCGCGGAUGACGGUACCUUGACAAGAAGCACCGGCUAACUACGUGCCAGCAGCCGCGGUAAUACGUAGGGUGCGAGCGUUAAUCGGAAUUACUGGGCGUAAAGCGUGCGCAGGCGGUUGUGUAAGACAGGUGUGAAAUCCCCGGGCUUAACCUGGGAACUGCGCUUGUGACUGCACGGCUAGAGUACGGCAGAGGGGGGUGGAAUUCCUGGUGUAGCAGUGAAAUGCGUAGAUAUCAGGAGGAACACCGAUGGCGAAGGCAGCCCCCUGGGCCUGUACUGACGCUCAUGCACGAAAGCGUGGGGAGCAAACAGGAUUAGAUACCCUGGUAGUCCACGCCCUAACGAUGUCAACUAGUUGUUCGUAGAGGUAACUCUGUGAGUAACGCAGCUAA
rnacentral:rRNA from 1 species